AGCAGCCGCGGUAAUUCCAGCUCCAAUAGCGUAUAUUAAAGUUGUUGCAGUUAAAAAGCUCGUAGUUGAAUUUCGGGAUCAAUUUGCUGGUCGUGCCUCUGGUACGUACUGGUAUUAUUGGUUUCUCCCUUCUGACGAACCAUGAUGUCAUUAAUUUGAUGUCGUGGAGAAUCAGGACUGUUACUUUGAAAAAUUAGAGUGUUUAAAGCAGGCAUUAGCUUGAAUACAUUAGCAUGGAAUAAUGAAAUAGGACGUUUGAUCCUAUUUUGUUGGUUUCUAGGAUUGACGUAAUGAUUAAUAGGGAUAGUUGGGGGCAUUAGUAUUCAAUUGUCAGAGGUGAAACUCUUGGAUUUAUUGAAGACUAACUACUGCGAAAGCAUUUGCCAAGGAUGUUUUCAUUAAUCAAGAACGAAAGUUAGGGGAUCGAAGACGAUCAGAUACCGUCGUAGUCUUAACCAUA
rnacentral:rRNA from 1 species